CCGGACAAAUCGGUGCACGUCUUCUGGUAGCGAAGCAGAAGAGCAAGAAGAGGAAUGCGAUGAAGAUGACGAAAUAGGUGCCGAAAAGUAGUCGAAAACGUUGAGGCCCUUAUCACGCAUGAUAAGGCUCAACUUUUGUCUGACGUCACACACUGCAGCGAUGCACCUAGUAGGCGUAUUUUACGAGCGAAAGUCCCCUGAUACGUUUGCUUCCCCGCAAUAGAUGUCCAAAAGCAGUCGAAAAAGUUGAGGCCCUUAUCACCCAUGAUAAGGCUCAACUUUUGUCUGACGUCACACACUGCAGUGAUGCACCUAGUAGGCGCGUAUUUUACGAGCGAAAGGUCCCCUGAUACGUUUGCUUCCCCGCAAUAGAUGUCCAAAAGCAGUCGAAAAAGUUGAGGCCCUUAUCACCCAUGAUAAGGCUCAACUUUUGUCUGACGUCACAUACUGCAGUGAUGCACCUAGUAGGCGUAUUUUACGAGCGAAACGUCCCCUCAUACGUUUGCUUCCCCGCAAUAGAUGUCCAAAAGCAGUCGAAAAA